GGUCAUAUGCUUGUCUCAAAGAUUAAGCCAUGCAAGUCUAAGUUCACAUCAUAUCAAGAUGAAACUGCGAAGCGCUCAGUAAAUCAGUUAUUGUCUCUUCGGUCUUAUCAGCCAUGGAUAACUGUGGUAAAUCUAGAGCUAAUACAUAGCAAAUCUUUGAUAUUAUUUGAAAGAAUAGUAUUAAAGAGCAUUUAUUAGAGUUCUAACCAACUUUGGACAUGUUAUAUAGUUAACCCUAUAUACAUGUUUCAAAUAUUGAUGAAUCAUAAUAACUGUGCAUAUCGAACAUUUAGUUGUCGAUAGUCCGAUCGAGUUUCUGCCCUAUCAACUAGUUGGUGAGGUAUUGGCUCACCAAGGUGGUGACGGGUAACGGGGGAUCAGGGUUCGAUUCCGGAGAGGGAGCCUGAGAAACGGCUACCACAUCUAAGGAAGGCAGCAGGCGCGCAAAUUACCCAAUCCAGACUUUGGGAGGUAGUGACGAGAAAUACCGGAGUAGAUCAUCUAAUGAUUCACUAUCGGAAUGAACGUAAUCUAAUACCUUCGAUGAGUAGCUACUGGAGGGCAAGUCUGGUGCCAGCAGCCGCGGUAAUUCCAGCUCCAGUAGUGUAUAUCAAAAUUGUUGCGGUUAAAGCGCUCGUAGUUGGAUUACAAAAGCUCUAAAAUAAUCAAGUCCUAUUAUUUAAUAAAUGGUUUGAUUGUUAUGGGGUUUUUUUCUUGUGAGAUCCAUAUGUGAGAUUAAAUUCUUGUGUAUGGUCACUUGCAAAAUGUGCCUUGAAUAAAGCACAGUGCUCAAAGCAGGCUUAUAAGCUUGAAUGUAAUAGCAUGGAACGAUUAUUGUUGACCUAAUCAACUGUUGGUUGUUGAAAUACCAAUAUGGUCUAGAUUAAAAGGAACAUUUGAGGGCGUUAGUACUUGGUGGCGAGGGGUGAAAUUCUUAGACCCAUCAAAGACUAACUAAUGCGAAAGCAUUCGCCAAGAGUGUUUUCAUUAAUCAAGAACGAAAGUUAGAGGUUCGAAGACGAUCAGAUACCGUCCUAGUUCUAUACAGUAAACUAUGCCAACAUGGGAUCAGUCCGGAACUAUCCAGGUUGGGCCCUCAGAGAAAUCUAGUGUUUAGGUCCCUGGGGGAGUGCACACGCAAGUGAGAAACUUGAAGAAAUUGACGGAAUGGCACCACCAGGAGUGGAGCCUGCGGCUUAAUUUGACUCAACACGGGGAAACUCACCAGGUCCAGACAUUGAUAGGAUUGACAGACUGAGAGAUCUUUCAUGAUACGAUGAUUGGUGGUGCAUGGCCGUUCUUAGUUGGUGGAGUGAUCUGUCAGGUUAAUUCCGGUAACGAGCGAGACCACGGUCUUUAAUUGAUUACUAAUAUAUAUUAAUGUCAUAUUAAAUCUUAAAGAGACAACCGGAUUUAAGCCGGGGGAAGCGUGGCAAUAACAGGUCUGUGAUGCCCUUCGAUGUUCUGGGCUGCACGUGCGCUACAAUGGUAGUAACAACAAGUUCCUGCUCUGAGAUGAGUGGGUAAUCUUUAAAAUUACUAUCUUGCUUUGGAUUGAGCCUUGUAAUAAUUGCUCAUGAAAGAGGAAUUCCUCGUAAGCGCGAGUCAUCAACUCGUGUUGAAUACGUCUCUGCCCUUUGUACACACCGCCCGUCGCUACUACCGACUGGAUGAUACUUCGAAGUGUUAGGACUGGUUGUUCUGCAAAGAAUGACUGGAAGAAGCCCUUAGAUGUACUAUCUGCAGGAAGUAAAAGUCGUAACAAGGUUUCCGUAGGUGAACCUGCGGAAGGAUCAUUAA
rnacentral:rRNA from 1 species